rfam:Talaromyces islandicus isolate WF-38-12 genome assembly, contig: WF-38-12_scaffold00006
GGCCCUGUGGUGUAGUGGUAGCACGUCAGCCUCCGGUGGUUCAUUCUGUCUGCUGAAGAUCUAGGGUUCGAGCCCCUACAGGGUCG